rnacentral:rRNA from 1 species
UACGUAGGGUGCAAGCGUUAAUCGGAAUUACUGGGCGUAAAGCGUGCGCAGGCGGUUUUGUAAGUCUGUCGUGAAAGCCCCGGGCUUAACCUGGGAAUUGCGAUGGAGACUGCAAGGCUUGAAUCUGGCAGAGGGGGGUAGAAUUCCACGUGUAGCAGUGAAAUGCGUAGAGAUGUGGAGGAACACCGAUGGCGAAGGCAGCCCCCUGGGUCAAGAUUGACGCUCAUGCACGAAAGCGUGGGGAGCGAACAGG